GCCCCAGAGAACUAUCACCAUAGAAACUACCCAUUACCAGGGCCCAGAAAAGCUGCUCAAGGCUACAACAGUGGAUCUUUGUUUGUGUUUUUCACUUUACUACACCUUUAAAACUGUGUUUUCAAAUGGCUCCAGAGGGGCCUGUCCUGCUGAGGAGCCAUUGCCUGUGACCUGUCCUUAUCUUCCCCUCGCAGUGACAGGUGUCCUGAAGUGAUGUCAACAGAGCUGUGGCUUCAUCAUCUACAUGCUAAUGCCACCCAUGAAGAUCACUCUGACUCUCUCAAAGGCACCUCAAGGAUUCCUGCUUGAAGUCACCCUACUCAGAGCUGUCCCUGAGCCCCUAUUGAUGGAGAAGCCCUGUGGCCACCACUCUGCAUCCUCCUGAUUCUGUACUAAUAGGGAUAUGAAAGCAGCUCUUAUCAUCUCCUGAUAUAGUUUAUAUUUAUCAGUUUAAUUACCAGCCUCACUCACCAGAACACAAGCUUCCCAGAGUGAGAACUACUCUACUCUGUUUAUUAUCCCCGGUGCCUAGAGCAGAGCUACACAUAAGAGACACUUGAUACAUCCCUUUUGAUUGGACAAGUGAAUAAAUUUCAGCAAAAUAAAAAAUGGAUCCAAAGGAAAGAUGUGGAAUAAGGGAAACAGUGGUGGUGACAUUUAAAUAAUUUGUAGGCAUUUAUCAUGGAAAAAUGCAAACAUACAAAGUAAACAGAAUAGUACAAUGAACUUCCAUGUACCAUCACCCAGUUUCAAGUUACCAACUUUUUGUCAUUCUUGUAUUAUCUAUAACUCCAUCAACCCCCCCACUCUAUUCAAUUACUAUUUUUAUAGGUAAAAUGUGCAUACAUUUUAUAGAAAUAAACAAAGACCACACAGAUGAGAAAAGUGACAGUUACUUAUUCUGAACUUGCUCUAGCAAGGCGGUCAGCCAUGAUCACUCAUGUGUUGGCAGAGACUCAAAGGCCAAGAGUGAGUGGAGUGAGAGUGAGAAAACUUCGUAGUGGAAAAAAGAGAAAGCUUCAGGUACACCCAGGUCACUGUUGGCCUGGGAAAGCUGUAAGCAGGCUAAUAGUAAGCAGGGCAUCCUAUGUGAUUGGUUAGGGGGAGCACAUUUGGCUUCCUCUGAUUGGUCCUAAGUUGUAAGUGGGAACCAAAAUUAGGGAAGUUGUCCAUUAUUAAUCAAAGCUUUGCCAUUUUGGGUCAAUUAUUAUUGAAGUUACUGUUUAGCUUCCUAGAUUGUUACUAGAGAUAGCAAUCCAGCUUCCUACAAGUCUGACUCAUAGCAAGUUGGCUUUCUGGGCUAAUUAUUGGAGAUAAAGGGCUGGUUUCCUAGGCAGCCUGCUGCAGGUGGUAGGUCAGAGCUCUAUUUUUAUAUACAGUCUGGCCAUUAUAUAUUUGCAUAUUCAGUUUCUCAAUUGAAUAUACAAAUAUUAGCCAUGCAAUUUUAAUAAAUGGGUAUACCCAUGUCACACAUACUCCUGACAUGAUAUAGAACAAGGUUUAAGUAGUUUUCAAUUACUAAAAAAAGUGUGAAACUUAGUAGAUGUUCAGUUGAUUCUGGGUACAUGAAAGGAGGAUAAAUGAAUGAAUGAAAUUUAAAUCCUAGAUCCUUGCAAUAUGGGAAGUUGCAAGAGGGAUAUGAGAAGAGUAGGAGCAUACUAUAGUCUUUGUUUCUUGAUAGAGGAAAUAUAGUAC